rnacentral:rRNA from 1 species
GAUGAACGCUAGCGGGAGGCUUAACACAUGCAAGUCGUGGGGCAGCAUAGGUCCGUCGCAAGGCGGAUCUGAUGGCGACCGGCGCACGGGUGAGUAACGCGUAUGCAACCUGCCCCGUACUGGAGGAUAGCUCCCGGAAACGGGAAUUAAUACUCCAUGAUGAUAUACUGGGGCAUCCCGGUAUAUUUAAAACUCCGGUGGUACGGGAUGGGCAUGCGUAACAUUAGCUUGUUGGUAGGGUAAUGGCCUACCAAGGCUACAAUGUUUAGGGGGCCUGAGAGGGUGAUCCCCCAACUGGUACUGAGACACGGGCCAGACUCCUACGGGAGGCAGCAGUGAGGAAUAUUGGUCAAUGGGCGCAAGCCUGAACCAGCCAUCCCGCGUGCAGGAAGAAGGCGCUAUGCGUUGUAAACUGCUUUUGCAGGGGACGAAACACUUCGACGUGUCGGAGUUUGACUGUACCCUGUGAAUAAGCAUCGGCUAACUCCGUGCCAGCACG